rnacentral:snoRNA from 1 species
GUGGCUUUUACAUGAUAUAAUGAUUCAUGCUUUGAAUAUGUUUAUAUGUGAAGCUUGUUGUGAAGUGUAAUUGCCUACAUUGAAUUUAGUUUCCCCCGCGUUCUAGUUAU